AAAAAGUUAGUUAAUAUAUUAUAACAUAAAAUUGUCAAUUUUAAAUUACUAUUAUAUAGUACUUUUUA
rnacentral:tRNA from 1 species